UUAGAGUCCCAUAAGUGCCUGUGAAUGCUUUUACCAUGUCUCACUUAUAUGAAUACUUCUCUCUUCUGUAAUAUUUAGACACACACUGCAAUAUCGGUAGUUGAAGAGGAUCUAAAAUGUUUACAACUUAAGCUAAGAGCCUCCAUGUCCACUAAAUGUAACCUGGAAGACCAGAUAAAGAAAUUGGAAGAUGACCGCUACUCACUGCAAUCUGCCAAAGAUGGACUGGAAGAUGAGUGCAGAACCCUGAGGCAGAAAGUAGAGAUUCUGAAUGAACUGUAUCAGCAGAAGGAGAUGGCUUUGCAAAAGUAAGAUUUUCAUCAUUUACUGUUCACUGUCAUGUGACUAAAUAAAGGUGUACUAAUAUA